ACGGAGGAUCCAAGCGUUAUCCGGAAUUACUGGGCGUAAAGAGUUGCGUAGGUGGCAGAGUAAGUUGGUAGUGAAAGCGUUCGGCUCAACCGGAUACACAUUAUCAAAACUGCUCAGCUAGAGGACGAGAGAGGCAUCUGGAAUUCCUAGUGUAGGAGUGAAAUCCGUAGAUAUUAGGAGGAACACCGAUGGCGUAGGCAGGGUGCUGGCUCGUUCCUGACACUAAGGCACGAAAGCGUGGGUAGCAAACGGGA
rnacentral:rRNA from 1 species